CAAAGGUUUGGUCCUGACCUUACUAUCAGCUCUAACCCAACUUACACAUGCAAGUCUCCGCCUCCCCGUGAGAAUGCCCUUAAUGUCCUGUCCGGAAUUAAGGAGCAGGCAUCAGGCACAAAAUUUAGCCCACGACGCCUUGCUCAGCCACACCCCUACGGGUACUCAGCAGUGAUAAAAUUUAAGCAAUAAGUGAAAACUUGACUUAGUCAGGGAUAAGAGGGCCGGUAAAACUCGUGCCAGCCACCGCGGUUAUACGAGAGGCCCAAGUUGAUUAAAUGCGGCGUAAAGAGUGGUUAUGAAAAUUAAACAAUAAGGUCGAAUAUCCUCAGAGCAGUUAUACGCAUCCGAGGUCACGAAGCACAGUCACGAAAGUAGCCCUACUAUAAUUCUGACCCCACGAAAACCAUAGAACAAACUGGGAUUAGAUACCCCACUAUG
rnacentral:rRNA from 1 species